rnacentral:rRNA from 1 species
GACGAAGGGGGCUAGCGUUAUCCGGAAUUACUGGGCGUAAAGCGUGCGCAGGCGGUGAUGUAAGACAGGUGUGAAAUCCCCGGGCUUAACCUGGGAACUGCAUUUGUGACUGCAUCGCUGGAGUGCGGCAGAGGGGGAUGGAAUUCCGCGUGUAGCAGUGAAAUGCGUAGAUAUGCGGAGGAACACCGAUGGCGAAGGCAAUCCCCUGGGCCUGCACUGACGCUCAUGCACGAAAGCGUGGGGAGCAAACAGG